ACGAACGCUGGCGGCAUGCCUAACGCAUGCCAGUCGAACGAGACCUUCGGGUCUAGUGGCGCACGGGUGCGUAACGCGUGGGAACCUGCCCUUAGGUUCGGAAUAACUCCCCGAAAGGGGUGCUAAUACCGGAUAAUGUCUUCGGACCAAAGAUUUAUCGCCUUUGGAUGGGCCCGCGUUGGAUUAGCUAGUUGGUAGGGUAAAAGCCUACCAAGGCGACGAUCCAUAGCUGGUCUGAGAGGAUGAUCAGCCACACUGGGACUGAGACACGGCCCAGACUCCUACGGGAGGCAGCAGUGGGGAAUAUUGGACAAUGGGCGAAAGCCUGAUCCAGCAAUGCCGCGUGAGUGAUGAAGGCCUUAGGGUUGUAAAGCUCUUUUACCCGGGAUGAUAAUGACAGUACCGGGAGAAUAAGCUCCGGCUAACUCCGUG
rnacentral:rRNA from 1 species